rnacentral:rRNA from 1 species
UACGAAGGGGGCUAGCGUUGCUCGGAAUUACUGGGCGUAAAGCGCACGUAGGCGGCUUUCUAAGUCGGGGGUGAAAUCCUGGAGCUCAACUCCAGAACUGCCUUCGAUACUGGAAGACUUGAGUUCCGGGGAGAGGUGAGUGGAACUGCGAGUGUAGAGGUGAAAUUCGUAGAUAUUCGCAAGAACACCAGUGGCGAAGGCGGCUCACUGGCCCGAUCGUGACG